CUACGGGCCGCUCCAGUGGGGAAUAUUGCGCAAUGGACGAAAGUCUGACGCAGCGACGCCGCGUGAGGGACGAAGGUCUUCGGAUUGUAAACCUCUUUCAGUAGGGACGAAGCGAAAGUGACGGUACCUAAAGAAGAAGCACCGGCUAACUAUGUGCCAGCAGCCGCGGUAGAUACAUAGGGUGCAAGCGUUGUCCGGAUUUAUUGGGCGUAAAGAGUUCGUAGGCGGUUUAUCGCGUCGGGUGUGAAAACUCAGGGCUUAACCCUGAGCCUGCACUCGAUACGGGUUUACUUGAGGACGGCAGGGGAGACUGGAACUCCUGGUGUAGCGGUGGAAUGCGCAGAUAUCAGGAAGAACACCAAUGGCGAAGGCAGGUCUCUGGGCCGAUUCUGACGCUGAGGAACGAAAGCGUGGGGAGCAAACAGGAUUAGAUACCCGCGUAGUC
rnacentral:rRNA from 1 species